rnacentral:rRNA from 1 species
UACGUAGGGACCGAGCGUUGUCCGGAAUCAUUGGGCGUAAAGAGCGUGUAGGCGGCUUGUUAAGUCUUGCGUGAAAUCUCGGGGCUCAACCCAGAGCGGUCGUGAGAAACUGGCAGGCUAGAGUGCGGGAGAGGCAGAGGGAAUUUCCGGUGGAGCGGUGAAAUGCGUAGAGAUCGGAAAGAACACCAACGGCGAAAGCACUCUGCUGGGCCGACACUGACACUGAGAGACGAAAGCUAGGGGAGCGAAUGGG